GAUGAACGCUGGCGGCGUGCCUAAUACAUGCAAGUCGAGCGAACAGACGAGGAGCUUGCUCCUCUGACGUUAGCGGCGGACGGGUGAGUAACACGUGGAUAACCUACCUAUAAGACUGGGAUAACUUCGGGAAACCGGAGCUAAUACCGGAUAAUAUAUUGAACCGCAUGGUUCAAUAGUGAAAGACGGUCUUGCUGUCACUUACAGAUGGAUCCGCGCUGCAUUAGCUAGUUGGUAAGGUAACGGCUUACCAAGGCAACGAUGCGUAGCCGACCUGAGAGGGUGAUCGGCCACACUGGAACUGAGACACGGUCCAGACUCCUACGGGAGGCAGCAGUAGGGAAUCUUCCGCAAUGGGCGAAAGCCUGACGGAGCAACGCCGCGUGAGUGAUGAAGGUCUUCGGAUCGUAAAACUCUGUUAUUAGGGAAGAACAUAUGUGUAAGUAACUGUGCACGUCUUGACGGUACCUAAUCAGAAAGCCACGGCUAACUACGUG
rnacentral:rRNA from 1 species